UAUGUUUCAAAGCAUUGGGAAUUAAAAAAAUACAAUAUAUGCUUGUUCUAGUCUUAAGUUGGCAUUUUGUAUUAUAUCAUUUUCCAAACAGAUCAAUGAAAUAACCAAAAUUAUAAGAACUUCAGUAGGCAUCAUAAAGGUUAUAUUGAAAUUAGAGUUUGUUGGUACACAAAAAAUAUUAUUUUGACCUUAUAUCAGGACUGGCAUAACUGGCAGGAUAUUCUACUUAUAUAAAAAAUCCUUGGUUAAUUGGCAAAUUGCUUUUCUCCUAACAAGUGGGAUUAGAUCAAUAGUGUCACUGGGGUUUUGCUCCGUUAGAGUAGCCUGUCCUCUCCUUAUUUAAUAAUAAGGCACUACUGCUUGACAAAAAGGAAUUGGAAACACAUAUGUUUUAUCAAUUGUGUAUUAAACACUACCAUUCUGCCUGGCAUUGUGAUAUGGGGACAUGAGAGAAGGCAAGAGCUU
rnacentral:lncRNA from 1 species